rnacentral:rRNA from 1 species
GGUUGAUCCUGCCAGUAGUCAUAUGCUUGUCUCAAAGAUUAGGCCUUGCAUGUCUAAGUACACACUUUGGUAAAGUGAAACCGCGAAUGGCUCAUUAAAUCAGCUACAGUUUAUUAGAUCGUACACUGUUACUUGGAUAACUGUGGGAAUUCUAGAGCUAAUACAUGCCGAGAGUCUCUGCUCUUCGGGGCAGAGCGCAGUUAUUAGACCAAAACCAGCCGUAUUCGUCGGGGUACGCUCUUUUGGUGGCUCUGGAUAACCUUCAGCCGAUCGCAUGGCCUCGUGCCGGCGACGUAUCUUUCAAGUGUCUGCCCUAUCAACUUUCGAUGGUACGUGAUAUGCCUACCAUGGUGAUAACGGGUAACGGGGAAUCAGGGUUCGAUUCCGGAGAGGGAGCCUGAGAAAUGGCUACCACAUCCAAGGAUGGCAGCAGGCGCGCAAAUUACCCACUCCCAGCUUGGGGAGGUAGUGACGAAAAAUAACAAUGCGGGACUCUAAGAGGCCCCGUAAUUGGAAUGAGUACACCUUAAAUCGUUUAACGAGUAUCAAUUGGAGGGCAAGUCUGGUGCCAGCAGCCGCGGUAAUUCCAGCUCCAAUAGCGUAUAUUAAAGUUGCUGCAGUUAAAAAGCUCGUAGUUGGAUCUGGGGCUUGAGGUCGCUGUCUAUCGUUUCGGCGAUGACGGUGAUGCUCAGCUCUGCUUGCCGGUGACUGUUGCGGUGUUCUUCACUGAGCGCUGUAGCAGCACGGCACGUUUACUUUGAAAAAAUUAGAGUGCUCAAAGCGUGCUUGUCGCUUGAAUAAUGUUGCAUGGAAUAAUGGAAUAGGACCUCGGUUCUAUUUUGUUGGUUUUCGGAGCUUGAGGUAAUGAUUAAGAGGGACGAACGGGGGCAUUCGUAUUGCGGUGUUAGAGGUGAAAUUCUUGGAUCGCCGCAAGACGGACUACUGCGAAAGCAUUUGCCAAGAACGCUUUCAUUAAUUAAGAACGAAAGUCAGAGGUUCGAAGACGAUCAGACACCGUCCUAGUUCUGACCAUAAACGAUGCCGACCAGCGAUCCGUAGUGGUUGCUUUAUGGACCCUACGGGCAGCCUCCGGGAAACCAAAGUAUUUGGGUUCCGGGGGAAGUAUGGUUGCAAAGCUGAAACUUAAAGGAAUUGACGGAAGGGCACACCAGGAGUGGAGCCUGCGGCUUAAUUUGACGCAACACGGGAAAAC